UACAGAGGGUGCAAGCGUUAAUCGGAAUUACUGGGCGUAAAGGGUUGGUAGGUGGUCUUGUUUGUCUAGGGUGAAAUCCCAUGGCUUAACUGUGGAAGUGCCCUAGAAACGGCAAGACUAGAGUCCUAGAGGGGUUUGUGGAAUUCCCGGUGUAGCGGUGAAAUGCGUAGAGAUCGGGAGGAACACCAGCGGCGAAGGCGGCAAACUGGAUAGGCACUGACACUCAACAACGAAAGCGUGGGGGAGCAAACAGG
rnacentral:rRNA from 1 species